UUAAGUUCGGCGGGUAGUCCUACCUGAUUUGAGGUCAGACGUUAAAGUGUUUGUCCGAAGACGACUGUGAGCCACCCCCCAUUCGCGGUCACGGACGCAGGCGAGUUUUCUUAUCACACCGUCGUCCGUGCGAUGGGCACGGCUAAUGCAUUUCGAGACGAGCCGUCCACGAAGACGGCAACGUCCAAAUCCGACCCCCG
rnacentral:misc_RNA from 1 species